UACGUAGGUGGCAAGCGUUGUCCGGAAUUAUUGGGCGUAAAAGCGCGCGCAGGCGGUCCUUUAAGUCUGAUGUGAAAGCCCACGGCUCAACCGUGGAGGGUCAUUGGAAACUGGGGGGACUUGAGUACAGAAGAGAAGAGUGGAAUUCCACGUGUAGCGGUGAAAAUGCGUAGAGAUGUGGAGGAACACCAGUGGCGAAGGCGACUCUUUGGUCUGUAACUGACGCUGAGGCGCGAAAAGCGUGGGGGAGCAAACAGG
rnacentral:rRNA from 1 species